rnacentral:rRNA from 1 species
GAGUUUGAUCAUGGCUCAGAUUGAACGCUGGCGGUAUGCAUAACACAUGCAAGUCGAACGGUAGCAGGCUCGGGAAACCGAGUGCUGACGAGUGGCGGACGGGUGAGUAAUGCGUAGGGAUUUGCCUAGUAGAGGGGGAUAACCUGGGGAAACUCAGGCUAAUACCGCAUAUGCCUAAGGGUGAAAGAGGGGGACCGUAAAAGGCCUCUUGCUACUGGAUGAACCUGCGUAGGAUUAGCUAGUUGGUAGGGUAAAGGCCUACCAAGGCGAAGAUCCUUAACUGGUCUGAGAGGACGACCAGUCACACUGGGACUGAGACACGGGCCAGACUCCUACGGGAGGCAGCAGUGGGGAAUAUUGGACAAU